rnacentral:rRNA from 1 species
UACGGAGGGUGCAAGCGUUAUCCGGAUUUAUUGGGCGUAAAGCGUUUCGUAGGCGAUUCGGUAAGUCAUUCUUCAAAGACCGAGGCUCAACUUCGGGAAGGGGAAUGAUACUAUCGGAAUAGAAGUACUUAGGGGCUACUGGAACUGUCAGUGUAGGAGUGAAAUCCGUUGAUAUUGACAGGAACGUCGAGGGCGAAGGCAGGUAGCUGGGAGUAUCUUGACGCUGAGGAACGAAGGCUAGGGUAGCGAA